rnacentral:rRNA from 1 species
UACGUAGGGUGCAAGCGUUGUCCGGAAUUAUUGGGCGUAAAGAGCUCGUAGGCGGUCUGUCGCGUCGGCUGUGAAAACACGGGGCUCAACUCCGUGCCUGCAGUCGAUACGGGCAGACUAGAGUUCGGUAGGGGAGACUGGAAUUCCUGGUGUAGCGGUGAAAUGCGCAGAUAUCAGGAGGAACACCGGUGGCGAAGGCGGGUCUCUGGGCCGAAACUGACGCUGAGGUGCGAAAGCGUGGGGAGCAAACAGG